GUGACCAACCGAGGUCUUUAUCUCCUCAUCUUUUCCUUCUCCUUUUCCCCUUAUCUCUUCUCUCUUUCCUUCGCGUGGGUAUGUGCUUCAAGGAGGAGAUCCGGCCGCCGAGAAACUACUGCGACGCCAGCAGCACGGAGUGGCUGUGCUUCCCCGGCAAAUCCUACCACGGCCGCGGGCCCAUCCAGCUCUCCUAGAACUUAACUACUGGCCGGCGGGCAAGGCACAGGGCUUCGACGGCCUGCGCGAGCCGGAGGUGUGGUGGCCGGCAACCCGGACGUGGCUCGGCCCCGGCAGCAGUUCUGCGAGGCCCCUUGCAGGCGAGCGAGUGGACUCAUGGCUGCGCCGCCGCCGGCCAUAAAUCUUUAAUUUUUUUCGUUUUCGGAUAUGUAGUUGAAUGCUGAAUCUUUUCAUGUUGUAUAAUUUUUCUUGUAAUCUUGGGUCUCCUGUUGUAAUCUAAAUGACUCUUUUCCGGCUCCUCAUCCCUUUUCUUUCUGCUCUCA